AGAGUAAUAGCUCAGUGGUAGAGCACAUGCUUAGCAUGCAUGACAUCCUGGGCUCAAUCCCCAGCAUCUCCA
rnacentral:tRNA from 1 species